rnacentral:tRNA from 1 species
UGGGGGAUCGUCUAACGGUAGGACAGCACCCUUUGAAGGUGUAUAUGAAGGUCCGACUCCUUCUCCCCCAGCCA